rnacentral:rRNA from 1 species
UACAGAGGGUGCAAGCGUUGUUCGGAAUUACUGGGCGUAAAGGGCGCGUAGGCGGCCUGCUAAGUCGAACGUGAAAUCCCUGGGCUCAACCCAGGAACUGCGUCCGAUACUGGUUGGCUUGAAUCCGGGAGAGGGACGUGGAAUUCCAGGUGUAGCGGUGAAAUGCGUAGAUAUCUGGAGGAACACCGGUGGCGAAGGCGACGUCCUGGACCGGCAUUGACGCUGAGGCGCGAAAGCCAGGGGAGCAAACGGG